rnacentral:rRNA from 1 species
AUUGAGCGCUGGCGGCAGGCCUAACACACGCAAGUCGAGCGGAUGAAGAGAGCUUGCUCUCUGAUUUAGCGGCGGACGGGUGAGUAAUGCCUAGGAAUCUGCCUGGUAGUGGGGGAUAACGUCCGGAAACGGGCGCUAAUACCGCAUACGUCCUACGGGAGAAAGCAGGGGACCUUCGGGCCUUGCGCUAUCAGAUGAGCCUAGGUCGGAUUAGCUAGUUGGUGAGGUAAUGGCUCACCAAGGCGACGAUCCGUAACUGGUCUGAGAGGAUGAUCAGUCACACUGGAACUGAGACACGGUCCAGACUCCUACGGGAGGCAGCAGUGGGGAAUAUUGGACAAUGGGCGAAAGCCUGAUCCAGCCAUGCCGCGUGUGUGAAGAAGGUCUUCGGAUUGUAAAGCACUUUAAGUUGGGAGGAAGGGCAGUAAGUUAAUACCUUGCUGUUUUGACGUUACCGACAGAAUAAGCACCGGCUAACUUCGUGCCAGCCGCCGCGGUAACAC